rnacentral:rRNA from 1 species
CAUUGCCGGGUAGCUAAAUGCGGAAGAGAUAAGUGCUGAAAGCAUCUAAGCACGAAACUUGCCAAGAGAUGAGUCAUCCCUGACUUUAAGUCAGUAAGGGUUGUUGUAGACUACGACGUAGAUAGGUCUGGUGUGUAAGUGUAGUGAUACAUUGAGCUAACAGAUACUAAUUGCCCGAGAGGCUUAGCUAUACAACGCUCAAG